rnacentral:rRNA from 1 species
CCUACGGGAGGCAGCAGUGGGGGAUAUUGCACAAUGGCGGAAACCCUGAUGCAGCGACGCCGCGUGGGUGAAGAAGCGCCUCGGCGCGUAAAGCCCUGUCAGCAGGGAAGAAAAUGACGGUACCUGAAGAAGAAGCCCCGGCUAACUACGUGACAGCAGCCGCGGUAAUACGUAGGGGGCAAGCGUUAUCCGGAUUUACUGGGUGUAAAGGGGGCGCAGACGGCGAUGCAAGCCAGGAGGGAAAGCCCGGGGCCCAACCCCGGGACUGCUCUUGGAACUGCGUGGCUAGAGUGCAGGAGGGGCAGGCGGAAUUCCUGGUGUAGCGGUGAAAUGCGUAGAUAUCAGGAGGAACACCGGUGGCGAAGGCGGCCUGCUGGACUGCAACUGACGUUGAGGCCCGAAAGCGUGGGGAGCAAACAGGAUUAGAUACCCCAGUAGUC